CGCGAACGCUGGCGGCAGGCCUAACACAUGCAAGUCGAACGAAGUCUUCGGACUUAGUGGCGGACGGGUGAGUAACACGUGGGAACGUGCCUUUAGGUUCGGAAUAACUCAGGGCAACUUGUGCUAAUACCGAAUGUGCCCUUCGGGGGCAAGAUUUAUCGCCUUUAGAGCGGCCCGCGUCUGAUUAGCUAGUUGGUGAGGUAAAGGCUGACCAAGGCGACGAUCAGUAGCUGGUCUGAGAGGACGAUCAGCCACAUUGGGACUGAGACACGGCCCAAACUCCUACGGGAGGCGGCAGUGGGGAAUCUUGCGCAAUGGGCGAAAGCCUGACGCAGCCAUGCCGCGUGAAUGAUGAAGGUCUUAGGAUUGUAAAAUUCUUUCCCCGGGGACGAUAAUGACGGUACCCGGAGAAGAAGCCCCGGCUAACUUCGUGCCAGCAGCCGCAGUAAGAC
rnacentral:rRNA from 1 species